CUUUCAGGACUGGAAACAUGAGUCCAGUGAAGCUGUAAUUUCAGCUUUCAUUCCUGGCUAGCUCAGGUCAGAGAGAGAAUGAUCUGGGGUUUUCUUUUCAUUGAAGACCUCAAUAUGUCUCACAGAAGACAACAGCAAAUCUUCCAUUGAAUCCAGUUAUUCAAGAUCAGGUUCAAAAUUGGAAAAUUCAGCAGAUAUACACCAGUAAUGAGAGGAGAAUCCAGCCAAUCAAGCAUACAGCUUUGAUGCUUUUAUUUCUGUUAAUCUGUUCAAAAGUACCAUCUUUCCUGGAGCUACUUGUGCAUGUGUGGAGACCAGCAUCACCCCUGCAGUUCACUAUUUGAGGAAGCACCAGGGAUGCUGCACACAUGCAGCUGGACUGUCCUGUGGCCAGGUGGGUUUCACAGAGGGUAGCAGGAGGGUAGCAGGAGGAGCACAUAUGGUGCUUCCCCUGCCUCUGCAGUAGCUUGAGCAGCCUA
rnacentral:lncRNA from 1 species